UACGUAGGGAGCAAGCGUUGUCCGGAAUCAUUGGGCGUAAAGCGCGCGUAGGCGGCCCGAUAAGUCCGCUGUAAAAGUCAACGGCUCAACUGUUGAAAGCCGGUGGAUACUGUCGGGCUAGAGUACGGAAGAGGCAAGUGGAAUUCCCGGUGUAGCGGUGAAAUGCGCAGAUAUCAGGAAGAACACCGAUGGCGAAGGCAGCUCUCUGGGACGGUACUGACGCUGAGACGCGAAAGCGUGGGGAGCGAACAGG
rnacentral:rRNA from 1 species